GCCCAAAAUACAUUCUCCUCCUCUAAGGGGUGCACCGUGUCCCAAGUGUGAGAAGGAAGACCAUCAGGGGGAGGCGAGACGGUCUGCGGUGCCAGGGCGGGAGUCUUUCCCUUGUUGGGUUGCCUCCCCUUAUGGUGGGGGAAACAGCCAAUCGGGAAGGAAGCAGCGCGUGGACAACAGCUUUACUUUUAUGCCAUUUGCACACGAUAGGUCUACAGGAUUACAGAUGGUGUCAUAGUGCAGCCUUACACAAAGUAUACCGAUCUGGAUGAGGGAGCACUGCACUGUGGCAGAAUUGUCAUUCUCCAUGAACCAGGAAGUAGCCUGCUCGCACUGACUCAUGCCGCCAUCGCUGUGGACCAGUAGUAUCGGACUUUCUCAGGGCCAAGAUCUCCGCCGCUGUCACCCAGAACACUGAAACAAUCAGGAGUGUGUCCGCAGCCCAUCAAAUUUGAUCAAGGGCAGCGAAGGUGAUGAUAAUGAACCUCAAGAAAGCAUUUCACCCUCUACAAUGAUGGAGAGGAGAUACAGGAGGGAGAGCUUCAGGUUUCUUGCGGUCCUAGCUCGCCUGCUCCACAAACCUCUCUUACCACGUGGGGAAGGAAAAACCAAGAUCUCUUCCUCAGGAACCUCGAGAUCUUCCUUACAAGUGCCUGCUGCUGUAUGGUGAACGAAUGUCACGACCACGCGCCACAUUUACUCAAACUCUGCAAGAAACAACAGCGGCUUUGUCACGCGGCGCAGUCACGAGUUGGACCCGACGUGAACAUUUCAGCCCGCUUCUAACUUGACAAAACAGCAUGCGCACCGAGUUUCCCAUCUCCACAUCCUUGCUGCGAAGCUCGUGUCGAGAGAGGAACUCUAUGAUGCCGGCUCCGAUUGAAUCGCCCAAAACGUUGGUGGUGGUACGCAGACGGUCCCUAUCACACGAGAGAAAGAGGAUGUUAAAGAUCAGCGUUUACAACAUUGAUUCAUCUCCAUUUAACGUUUACAGAAGCAUCGGGCAGCAGCUUGAGCAGCGAAGCCCAGACUUCCCUCUCCCCGGCGGCCAUUUCGUCCAGCUCUUCCAGGGGGAUUCCAAGUAUUUCCUAGGCCAGCUGGGGGAGACAUAGUCUCUCCAGCGGGUCCUGGAUGGUCACUGUGACUUCCUCCCAGUGGGAGUGCUCUGAAAACCUCACCAGGGAGGCAUCCGCGGGGCAUCCUAACCAGAUGCCCCACCGACCUCAUCCGGCUCCUCUUGACGCAGCUCCCCUCUGAGCCCCUCUCGGAUGACCGAGCUUCUCACCCGGUCGGUCCUAAGUGAGCUCGCCCUGAAGAGUGAACUCCUUUCUGUGAUCUUAUUCUUUCGGUCACAACCCGCAGAUCGUGUCCAUAGGUGAGGGUGGGAACGUAGCUUUACCGGUAAAUUGCCGGCUUCACCUUUCGGCUCAGCUCCUUCUCCACCACAACAGACCGAUGCAGACUAGUCUGCAUAACUGCAGAUCAACUAGCGCCAAUCCGCUAGUUGAUCUCCCGCUCAAUUCUUCCCUCACUCAUGACCAAGACCCCACAUUACUUAAACUCCUCUACUUGGGACAUGAUCUCUUCCUGAACCCGGAGAGGGCACUCAACCCUUUUCUAACUGAGGACUAUAGCCUCAGAUUUGAAGGUGCUGAGUUUUAUCCCAACCACUUUACACUCACAGUAGCCGCGAACCGCUCCAGCGAGAGGUCAAGAGCGGAUCUUGAUGAAGCCAACAGAACCACAUCAUCUGCAAUAAGCAGAGACGUAAUACCAAGGUCACCAAACCGGACCCCUGCGACGCCUUGGCUGUGCCGAGAAACUCUGUCCAUAAAAGCUAUGAAAAAAAUCUGUAACAAGAUUCUGUCCAUUUACGUUCUGAACACAAUUGGUAACAAAGUGGAGCCUUGGCGGAGUCCAACACUCACUGAAAAGGCGCCAAUGCGGCCCAAACACCGACACAAGUCAUAAAAGGACCAAACGGCCCACAUGAGGGAGUGCAGUACCGCAUACUCUCGUAGCACUCUCCACGAGACUCCCCGAGGGACACAGUCGAAUGCCUUCUCCAAGUCCACAAAGCAGACUGGUUGGAUGAACUCCUACGCACCCUUCCAGCACCAUGCUGAAGGUGUAGAGCUGGUCGACUGUUCCUUGGCCAGGACGAAAACCACACUGAUUUGACUUCCUGACAGACCCUCCUCUCCAGCACCCCCAAUAGACUUUACCAGAUUGGGAGGGUGAGGUCUGUAAUCCCCCUGUACUUGAACCUCAAAAAAGGUGGACCACCACCCCAGUCUGCAAUCCAGAGGCCCGGGCGCCUGCCACAGAGGAGUUUUUUUUUUUAACUAGCUCUGCAACUUCAACUCCAGAGACAGGUGAGCCCGCUGCAGAACCCCCAGACUCUGCUUCCUCAUAGGAAGGCAUGUCAGUGGAAUUGAGGAGGUCAUUCCAAGUGCAUUCUAAUAUACAGUAAGUAUUCUCCCCACCGAUGACACUAAUUUAAAGUGGCGGUGUUCCAUACAUCAAGUCAACAAUGCAAAUCUUUAUGUGGUGCUAACAUGGUUCGGUCAAUGUUAGCUGAUUUACAAACAUCAACUACCCUCUGUUGUUUUAGAACAAUGUGAAUGAUGGUUUUCUACUCAUUUUUCCGAUGACUGUAUGCUCCAGAAAAAGGACAGAUGUUCAUAUUUGGACCAUCCUAGUUGAGGAGACAGGGAUUUUUCCACAUUGCCCCAGUUAGCUGAGCAAUUUCUGAAAAGGGUCUUCUAAUUGGAAUGAUUAAUUUGGGCAACCUAAUUACGUUUCUAUGUUAAAACUCAGUCCAGAAAAUAUUCAAUACAAAGGGAAAGAUGUAGAGCAGGACUUCAGGGAGAACGGAAAAGUGUGUCACUAGGUGGUAGUAGAGAUGAGGAUACGUUUGACCUUUAAAAUGACAACUGUGAUUCAUGUCGGCGCGUGAAGGCAGGUUCCGCUCUUCGCCGCGUCACGCGAUUACAUUUCCGACGGCACAGGGUACUCACAGGAACCAAUCGACUGCAAUGAUCAGAGUAAUGUCGUCGGUAGGAAGUCCAACAGACGUCAGUACAAUCACCAUCGUGACCAGGCCUGCUUGGGGGAUCCCAGCAGCUCCGAUACUCGCUGCGGUUGCUGUAAUACUUCAUUAAAGGGCAGAAGGUUCAUUCCUAUAUAUUUGCUAUUCGUUAUUAUAGUCGUCCUUUGUUCACUCUUACCUGAUGGUGAUGAUCUGACCAAAGUUCAUCUCCAUGUUGUUGACUUGGGCAAUAAAAAUGGCUGCCAGCGCUUCAUAGAGAGCGGUGCCAUCCAUGUUGAUGGUGGCACCCACGGGCAACACAAAGCGAGUAAUUCGCUUGUCUAUCUUGUUGUUCUCCUCCAGACAUUUAAAUGUGACAGGGAGGGUGGCCGAGCUGCGAGACGACACAACGGAAACGAGAAAUGUUUGCACCAAAGCAGACCUUACCGUGAAUUGGAUGCCGACGGUUCGAUUCGGGCCUCACCUUGAGGAGGUGCCCAACGCCGUGACCAGAGCUUGCACAAGGCCAGCGAUGAAAAUGAAAGGGUUCUGCCGAGUGAUGACAAAAUACAGCGUGGGAAGAAUAAGAACGCCAUGGAUCAUUAGGCCAAUUAUAACUGUGAUAGUAUACAUGCCCAACUGGCCACCCAUCUGUGUAAGAUCAUCCAUCUCCACUAUUUUCCCUGCAAUGAGGAACAGGAUGCCAAUAGGAGCGUACCUGAAAGGAGGAAGAGGUCAUGUUAAGAGCGCUGUACCGGAAAGACAAAUGGAACAGGAGGUGAAAAGUCAAGUCCUACCACAUGAUGAUGGCAACCAGCUGCAUGAUUGCUUCAUUGAGGCCGUCAAAGAAAUCCCUUAGGAGCUGGCCUUGCUCCUUCAUGUUGCCAAUUAUCAGCCCAAAACACAUCGAGAAGACCACCAAGCCCAGCGCGUUGACUCCAUUCACCUGACCGGGCACCGGUAUCACUUCCUCUCGGGUGAUCUCCAUGACCUCCUGGGUGUCGUUGGUUGUAUUAAAGAGGGUGUCGUUCACUGUCACCGUCACGUGAAUGACUCGUUUUCCGUAUUUUGUUUUGAACUGGACAAAGAAAUGAUGACGCUCGGUUAGAUAGGCCAGCCGACCGUAGAUACUCCACAUUCGCAUACGUUACAUCGUCAUCGUCCAUCCAUACUCAGCUGCCAUCAAAAAGUAUUUGGGGACUGCACCCAAGCGAGUAUACCUCGGCACCAUCCCAAUGAGCUGGAGCCAAGCCCAGCAGACUUCGGGCUCGAGGCGGGGUACACUCUGAACUGGUCACCAGCCAACCGCGGGGCACGUAUGGACAAAGAACCAUUCACACUCACGUUCAACCCUUCAGACAAUUUCGAGCCUUCAACUCACUUAAAAACAACAACAACAACAACAACAACAACAACAUCUUUUUGGACAAGGAGAACUCCAAACAGGAAGGCUAGAGCCCGGAUUCGAACCCCCCAACCUCGGAAACGUGAGGCAGAUGUGCUCACUCGAAAGCCGCCGAAUUCCUUGUGUGUUUUGGACAUACUUGGCAAAUAAAGAUGAUUCUGAUUCUGAUUCUGAUUCUGAUUCUGAGAAUCAGCAUGUCGGGACACAAGCACUUAGCAAAUGAGACGCGAAUGUGGGGGCUCACCUGUUGUGUGCAGGCUUGGACCAAGUUUGGAGGAAACAUAUUUCUGAAAUGAGAAUCCACUCACUUAGAGAUGAUUGAACGCAAAGAAGUAAGAAUGUUUCAUGCACCCGCGAGUAGUCUACUUUCUUACAAACCUUUUCCUGGGUGGAUGAUAAGGACAAUGAGGAUACCAAUGAAGACUGCAAUAAAGGUAGUGGUCAUGUAGUAAAUCACAGCUCUCAUGCCCAUUUUCCCGGAGGCUUUGCUGUCCAAAGCUGCCAUUCCUAAUGCACACAAGGGUGGGGGGGGAAAAAAACAUUACAGUAUUUAAGCAUCUGGACAUGAACGUUCUCAGAACCCCAGCGAAUACGGACGGGGAGAAUAUAUUAAUAGCACAUAGAAAGGCCCGAGGUGUCACACAUUUCAACUCUCUUAAUCAUCAAAGGUCAUGACUUUGACGCAGGCAAAAGCAAAUAAGAAAGCACGACUUUUCAAUCUGCCGUUAGCGGUAGCGUAUGCUCGCUACGAUCUAACUUCAGCCCCCACUUUAGACCAAAGCUGCGAGAGCAGAACCGGAGACGAGUAUGAUUGCAAGGAGUCUGGAACCUCGCUCACCGCACAGCACCCGACCGGCCGGGAUUCGUUCAAGCAAAAUGACGACGACUUCACGCCGUAGCUUAUUGGAAACCGCCGCCAAUAAAUACAGCUCAGAUCAGACGCUGAAAUGAUCUUAGGUUCAGCAACCUUUGUACCUGUUAUUAGACUGGAGACCAAUAAGGGUAGAACAAGCAUCUGCAGCAUUCUCAUCAGUAGCUCUCCAGGGAAAGAGAAGUACUUCACCUCUCGAUACGACAUCUUAUAGGGACGCAAUGCAAAUCCAAGAACGAUUCCUACGAAGACAACGAAGGUGUGGGUCAGGGCGUCUGUCAUCUCGUGUCCGAGGAAAUGCAUCGCCUUUACUUUUCGAUUUAGUUUGAAAAGGCAUACGUACCCACAACAACUGCGCCGACUGUGAAGAGCACAAAGGCAUUCUUUUUGAGGAAGGUCCGGAUGUCCUCUUUGGAGAUCUCCUCCACUUUCCUCUUGGCCUUCAUGGUGCGUAUGUGGAUGCCUUCUCUGAAACGCUGCAUCCUGCUGCGCUGGACCGAACAUU